rnacentral:lncRNA from 1 species
GAGUUCGGAACCUUGCCCAGGAAAUAGCAGAGCCAGAGUUAUUGGCCGGAGCAGCCAGGCCCCAGCCCGUCCUUCCCCUCACUUCCUCCUUAAACCACCAAAGUCUCCACCCCAGGGAGGGACAAAGGGCACAGCACCGGCCUCCCGGGCAGCAUAACGCUGAGAUGAAACCCAGAGCACCAAGACGCCACAGCAACACAUUUGAAGGGCCAACAUUUAGUCUGCUGCCUCGGGAGGGGACUACGGGGCACUUUUUCCUUCUCAGCAUUUAAAAUGAUCAUCUCACGGUGUAACAGAACAUUUUAGAUUUAGUUCUCUGUGUGAAAAAGGCUUAAAGGCUUAAAAGGAUGGGCCCGCUGGGUGAAGCCACGAGAAACGACAGCAUGACUGGCUGGGCCCAGGACCCCACCCUCACAAGUCCCCUGGGCCCUCAGCACCGCAAGGGAUGCUGCCCGGGACCCAGUGCCAGGGGCAGCGAGCUGGCAGAGCGCACAUAGUGCAGCCGUCACGGGGUGUUGCGGUGGGGGCGGACCCUUCCUGCUCGGCUUCCUGGAAGGUGGCUGGGACGUGCCAGCAGCGCCCACUGGCCUCCUGUGCACCUGGGGCGGCGGGGGGGCUUCUGUGGCCGAGGCUGUGGUGGUGGCUGUGGGAGGCAUGGCUGUGACCAGGGCCGGGGCCGUGGGGAGGGGGCAGCCGGUCUCCUCUGCUGUGGUCAGAGGGCAGCCAGAGGGAUGUAGGGCUGCCCCACCCAGGGUGGCUCCCCGUGUCCCCUUCCAGCCUCUCAGCCGUUCCUGGGGGCCUCUGUGAGUGAUCCCAUGUCCUCCUGGUCGGGUAGAGGUGACUGCCACUGCUGCCACCAAGAAUCCUGAUUAAUACGGCUGCCCAUACUUCAAUAAAAGCCUAAAUUUCUAGCUUCUUGAAAAAAAAUCAGACGUUUUGUCCAACGCUGGACUCGCAUUUCUGUGAGAUCUGACAGUUCUCUAAAAUUAGCAGCACCUGCACUCGUUGCUCUUACCUGUCCACACCUUGGCUGG